rnacentral:rRNA from 1 species
UACGUAGGGGGCAAGCGUUGUCCGGAAUUAUUGGGCGUAAAGAGCGCGUAGGCGGUCCGAUAAGUCGGCUGUGAAAGUCAGGGGCUCAACCCUUGGAAGCCGGCCGAUACUGUCGGCCUAGAGUCCGGAAGAGGCGAGUGGAAUUCCCGGUGUAGCGGUGAAAUGCGCAGAUAUCGGGAGGAACACCAAUGGCGAAGGCAGCUCGCUGGGACGGUACUGACGCUGAGACGCGAAAGCGUGGGGAGCAAACAGG